CUUAAAUUGCUUUGUGCUUUCAGCAGAUUCAGGAAGCGAUGAAGACUUCCUCAUGGAAGAUGACGAUGAUAGUGACUAUGGCAGUUCAAAAAAGAAAAAUAAAAAGGUCUCCAAGAAAUCCAAGCCAGAGAGGAAAGAAAAGAAAAUGCCGAAGCCCAGGCUAAAGGCUACAGUGACCCCCAGUCCAGUGAAAGGCAAAGGGAAGGCAGGGCGCCCCACAGCUUCCAAGCCAACAAAAGAAAAGACCCCGUCCCCCAAAGAAGAGGAUGAAGAGCCUGAAAGUCCUCCAGAAAAGAAAAAAUCAGCCAGCCCUCCACCAGAGAAAUCGGGGGAUGAGGGAUCUGAAGAUGAAGCACCCUCUGGUGAAGAUUAAAUGGCAGUUGAGGAAAUCUUUGUUUAAAAAAAAAAAAAAAAGAAAAAAAGAAAAAAGAAAAAAAAAAAAGGAAAAGUAAACAUACUUAGGGGUAGAACACGGUUUUGGCUGUGGCUUGACUCAUGGGCUUUGAAUGCUGUCUUUACUUUCAGCUGUUUAAUACAGUGUAUCCUUUUUUUAAUAAGAGGAAACCCUUAUACAGUAAUAUUUUGAAGUCAAUGUUCUCUGUUGGCCAUUCCGUUCUCCCUCCCCCACCAAAUCUGAAAGCCAUUCAAGACAAAUUAACAGACCAUUAAAGAUAUAUUUUUUUCAAGGGAUAAUGCAGUUGUGAAGCAAUAAGGUUGAAGACUGAUAUGUGGAAACCAUACUUACAAAUCAUUAAUUAGCAUAGUUUUCUCAGUGUUGGUAAGAGUUCUGCAUUUGGAUAUGUGGAAAAAAAACCCGAACCUGUGCUUUAAAAAGACUUGUGUUGGUACAAGUUCACUCUCAGAAAAAGAUGUAGUGAUUUGAAUUCCAAUUAAGGAAGAGGAAACAUGGGGAGGAAGCCUGUGUUUCUUGGAUUUGGGCACGUUUUGCAUGGAAAGCAAUCAAGAGACUUGUAGAUGGUCCACUGUCUUUUCCUUAGAAAAGACCCUUCAAUUAGGUUGCGAGCUCGUUUGUCUUUGGAUAGAAUGCUGUUCUGCUUUAGGCACGUCGCAGUUCAUUCUAUACAGAUUCAGAUACACAACCUACAAGCUUCUCCCAUCCGUUAACUUUAUUUCUUCCAAAGUUGGCUAUAGAUGGGCAGAAUAGGGAGCAGAAAUCAAAAAGAAUUUUUCAAACAGUGGUUUCCAUUUGGUAUUGUGGAAAAUGCCUUUGAAACUUUCCCAAGGAAAAAAAAAAAGAAUGAACGGGUUAGUAUAAAAUGUAAUUCUUCAGCUUUUGGGGUGAGGGAUGUCCUUUUAUAAAUGUGAAGCAAAGGAUUCCUGUAAUGCUCUGGUCAGUCUCGGAUCCCAUGAGUCACGCUUAAGUGUUUCUCUUCUCUCCCUCGGUCUGUGCUCAGAAAGGCUCCGUGGCCUCUCGGCCUCUGCAGUCCCAGCGCUGGGGAACGUCACCCCGAGGCCGCUUCCGUUAAUCAUCCUCCCAUCUCACACGGUGGGGGUUCUGCUCCCGCAUCCGCUGCUCUGCCCCUGAUUUUUUGGGCUGUCGUUCUGCUCCCUGAGCCUGAGAAGUGCUGAGUGGGGAACAGCGGUAAAGGGUGACGCUGGGAGGAGGCGCAGUUUGGAAGCGGCGUAGCAGGGAUGUAGUUUUAGAAUAGAAAAGCAGGAUAUCCCUGAAAUGCAAGGCACCAGAGAUAUGCGUGGUGGCAUUUUAAUGUGUUUUUAUCAAAGCAGCCAUAUCCUUUUUUUUUUUUUUUUUAAACUUUAAUUAAAGAUACACAAGCCUUGCUUUUCAAACCCUAAAACAGAGGUUGCUGCCAUAUUUCUUGGU
rnacentral:lncRNA from 1 species